rnacentral:rRNA from 1 species
UCGAGAAUCUUUCGCAAUGGGCGCAAGCCUGACGAAGCGACGCCGUGUGAGCGAAGAAGGCCUUCGGGUUGUAAAGCUCUUUCGCUAGGGAACAAGAGAGAUGGGACAAUACCCCAUUGAUUUGAUGGUACUUGGUAAAGAAGCACCGGCUAACUCCGUGCCAGCAGCUGCGGUAAUACGGAGGGUGCAAGCAUUGAUCGGAAUUACUGGGCGUAAAGGGCGCGUAGGCGGCGAGAUCAGUCAGAUGUGAAAUUCCGGGGCUCAACCCCGGAGCUGCAUUUGAAACUAUCUUGCUAGAGUUCAGUUAGGGUAAACGGAAUUCCACGUGUAGCGGUGAAAUGCGUAGAUAUGUGGAAGAACACCAGUGGUGAAGACGGUUUACUGGGCUGAGACUGACGCUGAGGCGCGAAAGCAUGGGGAGCAAACAG